UACUAGUUCAUUCAUCUGUAUUGUCUGCGUUAAUUAUAUUAUUAUUGUAUUAUUGUUAUUUUAAUAUUAUGACCUCAUCAUUGUUGUUGUAUAAUCGUUGCUUUUUAAAAUAUUUUUUAUCCUGUUAUACAAUGUCUAGGACAUUUAUCCAUUUCACUGCUUCUGGGAAGCGUGUGUGCGUGCGUGUGUGCGUGUGCGUGUGCGUGCGUGCGUGUGUGCAUGUGUGCGUGUGUGUGUGUGCGUGUGCGUGUGCUAGUCUGUACACACAGUGUAAAUAAGUGAUGCUCUCUGUACCAGCAGAUGAAAAUAUAUCUCAUUGCCCAUCAGGACUUUAUCAUAUUGAUAUGCUGAUGUUAAAGCAAUACAGUAACUAUCUAAUGUAUUAUAAUAUAAUGUGCCACGCCGUUACCGUGAGGAUACUAAGCUGUUGUAUAAUGCUAUACUGUAUUGCCAUAGCAGUGCCAUCGCCAUGACGAUACCAUGGUGUUAGGUUGCUGUAGGAUCACCAUGGUAUUGCCACGGCGUUACUAUGGUGCCGCUAAACCGUAACGUUGCUAUGGUGUUGCUACAGUACCGCCAUGCUCUGUGAGUGCUGUUUGCGUGGGAACAGUGUACUUGAUUCUGACGUGAGCCAUAGGGGAUUAUGGGUAAAUGUGAGGAGAUAUCUGAGGAGAUUAGAGGAGGACAGAGUGGCUGACACCAGGCUUUAACUUAGUCUGGUCCCAGACCUGUUUAUGAUUUCAGAGGACAACAGGGUGGCUGACACCAGGCUUUAACUUAGUCUGGUCCCAGGCCUGUUUAUGAUUUCAGAGGACAACAGGGUGGCUGACACCAGGCUUUAACUUAGUCUGGUCCCAGACCUGUUUAUGAUUUCAGAGGUCAACAGGGUGGCUGACACCUGGCUUUAACCUAGUCUGGUCCUAUGCUGCCAUGACAACUCCUUGUUGCCAUUGUCCUCCGCCAGGUGGCUUCAUUCCUAGACGACAUGCAGUCCUCAAUCAGUCAAUGCAGACAGAAUCAUAUCACUAUCUGAUGUAAGACAAUGCCUUGUCGGAGACGGCACAACCUUUUCUGGAACCAGUCUAAGGUCAAUGACAACAGGACCAGACCUGGAACCAGGCUAAGGUCAAUGACGGGACCAGUUCUGGUACCAGGUUUAUGUCAACAGGGCCAGACCUGGUACCAGGUUUAGGUCAACAGGGCCAGACCUGGUACCAGGUUUAGGUCAACAGGGCCAGACCUGGUACCAGGUUUAGGUCAACAGGGCCAGACCUGGUACCAGGUUUAGGUCAACAGGGCCAGACCUGGUACCAGGUUUAUGUCAACAGGGCCAGACCUGGUACCAGGUUUAGGUCAACAGGACCAGACCUGGUACCAGGUUUAUAACAACAGGGCCAGUUCUGGUACCAGGUUUAGGUCAACAGGACCAGUUCUGGUACCAGGUUUAUGACAACAGGACCAGUUCUGGUACCAGGUUUAUGACAACAGGACCAGUUCUGGUACCAGGUUUAUGUCAACAGGGCCAGACCUGGUACCAGGUUUAUGACAACAGGACCAGUUCUGGUACCAGGUUUAUGUCAACAGGACCAGUUCUGGUACCAGGUUUAGGUCAACAGGACCAGUUCUGGUACCAGGUUUAUGACAACAGGACCAGUUCUGGUACCAGGUUUAGGUCAACAGGGCCAGACCUGGUACCAGGUUUAGGUCAACAGGGCCAGACCUGGUACCAGGUUUAGGUCAACAGGGCCAGACCUGGUACCAGGUUUAUGUCAACAGGGCCAGACCUGGUACCAGGUUUAGGUCAACAGGACCAGUUCUGGUACCAGGUUUAGGUCAACAGGACCAGUUCUGGUACCAGGUUUAGGUCAACAGGACCAGUUCUGGUACCAGGUUUAGGUCAACAGGACCAGUUCUGGUACCAGGUUUAGGUCAACAGGACCAGUUCUGGUACCAGGUUUAGGUCAACAGGACCAGUUCUGGUACCAGGUUUAGGUCAACAGGACCAGUUCUGGUACCAGGUUUAGGUCAACAGGACCAGUUCUGGUACCAGGUUUAUGUCAACAGGACCAGUUCUGGUACCAGGUUUAUGACAACAGGACCAGUUCUGGUACCAGGUUUAUGUCAACAGGACCAGUUCUGGUACCAAGUUUAGGUCAACAGGACCAGUUCUGGUACCAGGUUUAGGUCAACAGGACCAGUUCUGGAACAGGGUUUAGGUCAACAGGACCAGUUCUGGUACCAGGUUUAGGUCAACAGGACCAGUCUGGAACAAGGUUUAGGUCAACAGGACCAGUUCUGGUACCAGGUUUAGGUCAACAGGACCAGUUCUGGAACAAGGUUUAGGUCAACAGGACCAGUUCUGGUACAAGGUUUAGGUCAACAGGACCAGUUCUGGUACCAGGUUUAUGACAACAGGACCAGUUCUGGUACCAGGUUUAUGUCAACAGGGCCAGACCUGGUACCAGGUUUAUGACAACAGGACCAGUUCUGGUACCAGGUUUAUGACAACAGGACCAGUUCUGUUCCUGUUGGUCUGGUACCAGGUUUAUGUCAACAGGACCAGUUCUGGUACCAGGUUUAGGUCAACAGGACCAGUUCUGGUACCAGGUUUAGGUCAACAGGACCAGUUCUGGAACAGGGUUUAGGUCAACAGGACCAGUUCUGGUACCAGGUUUAGGUCAACAGGACCAGAUCUGGAACAAGGUUUAGGUCAACAGGACCAGUUCUGGUACCAGGUUUAGGUCAACAGGACCAGUUCUGGAACAAGGUUUAGGUCAACAGGACCAGUUCUGGAACAAGGUUUAGGUCAACAGGACCAGUUCUGGUACCAGGUUUAGGUCAACAGGACCAGUUCUGGUACCAGGUUUAGGUCAACAGGACCAGUUCUGGUACCAGGUUUAGGUCAACAGGACCAGUUCUGGUACCAGGUUUAGGUCAACAGGGUGGAUGAUACAAGGCUGUUUGUUUCUUCAGGGGAGAAUAAAACUUUUAAAAAAUA